AUGAACGCUGGCGGCGUGCCUAAUACAUGCAAGUCGAGCGAACGGACGAGAAGCUUGCUUCUCUGAUGUUAGCGGCGGACGGGUGAGUAACACGUGGAUAACCUACCUAUAAGACUGGGAUAACUUCGGGAAACCGGAGCUAAUACCGGAUAAUAUUUUGAACCGCAUGGUUCAAAAGUGAAAGACGGUCUUGCUGUCACUUAUAGAUGGAUCCGCGCUGCAUUAGCUAGUUGGUAAGGUAACGGCUUGCCAAGGCAACGAUGCAUAGCCGACCUGAGAGGGUGAUCGGCCACACUGGAACUGAGACACGGUCCAGACUCCUACGGGAGGCAGCAGUAGGGAAUCUUCCGCAAUGGGCGAAAGCCUGACGGAGCAACGCCGCGUGAGUGAUGAAGGUCUUCGGAUCGUAAAACUCUAUUAUUAGGGAAGAACAUAUGUGUAAGUAACUGUGCACAUCUUGACGGUACCUAAUCAGAAAGCCACGGCUAACUACGUG
rnacentral:rRNA from 1 species